UCUUCUGUGAGAUACAAAAUGCCUUCUCAUCACCUAAUAGAAGGGUGACAUCUGAGUCUUGUCAGGACAGAAGGGCAAACAUGUUCUGUUCCUAUAGAAUUUCAGUACCCUUUACCUAUAAUGAAAGUGGGAGCCAAAUGUUCACUACUGACUGAAGAAUUAUCACCCAGCACCCAACUGAAAAAGCCACAUGUUUUUAGUUCAUAUGAGAGUUAAAGUCCAUUCUUUUCUUUUCCAAUUAAAAUUUAUUUUUUAGCAAAAUUUAUAUGUUAUACAAGUUUCCUGCAUUCCACAAUACAGCUUUAGAGAAGGCAAUGUUUUAAUGAAAGACAGGUGCAUGCUGUGUCCUCAUGUGAAGAUAGCAAGAAAGUCUUCUAAGCAGGAUCCUUAGUAAUGUAAGUGAAUGCUGUGUCCUUUCCAAGUAAAAGACUAUGCACUCUGUGCAUAUCCCAUGGAAGUGUGAUUGAAGUGUUGUCAUGUACGUUCUGGGAGAGUGCAGGGUCCUCACAUCACAAUAGGGUGAAGGUCGUGUGAUGGAUAGGUGGAUGCUCUGUCCCCCACUAUCUAGAGGUGAAGGCUGUCACCUCACAUAUCUGACCUUUGAAUUUGGUGUCCUCAUUGGAUGGCCUGUCUUCACCUGAUGGAAGAGGAAGGUCCUGCCCUCAAACUGAGGUAAGCAUGAACACAUUUUCCUCACAUGGUGGAAGGGUGAGUUCUGUGUUCCCAGGUCAUGGUAGGGGAAUGUCCUUGCUACCUGAGGGAAGUGUGGACACCUUGAUGUUUCUUGUCAGUUGACUGAAAGCCAUGUCCUCACAUGGUGAGAGGUGAAGGUCAGGUGUUCAAAUGAAGGAUUGGUGAAUUCCCAGUCCUUGACUGAGGAAAGGGAUGGUGUCUUGUUCACAAAUGUGGGAAGGAUGAGUGCCAUGUCUUUACCUGAUGGAAAUGGUAAUGCCAUUUCUUGUUGUGAUAGCAUUAACACUGUCAUCACACAAUGGAAUUUUGAAUGCCAUGUCUCCAUUUAGUGGAAUGGGAAUGCUGUUUCUCACACUUAUGGGAAAGUAAAUGUGUUGCCUUCAUCUGAAGGAAGACUGAGUGCCUUGUUCUCUGAUGAUGGAAGGAUAAUCCCAUGAACACUCCUGUGGGAUAGUGAUCACCAUCAUUUCUCCUAAUGGAAGGGUGAAGAAAGUUUGUCAUAUGAGGGUUGGGGAAAUGCAGGGUUCUCAUAUGAUGAUAGAGUGAAGUACAUGUGGGCCUGUUAUGGAAGGAUGAACAAGCUGUCAUGGGCAUAUAGAGGUGAACCCUGUACCCUGGCAUGAUGAAAAUUUGAAUGCUCUGUCCUAAUUAUGACAUCAGGAAGGUGAAGGACCUGAUGGAAGAGUGAAGAUCUGAUUGUUAGCAGGAACAUGAAUGCAGUUUCUACAGCUCAUGGGAGAGUGAACUCUGUGGACUCAGCUGAUGGAAGGGAGAAGUCUGAACUCACUGGAGAGAAGAGCAAAUGCCUUGUUCCAAGCUUACAGAAUUUGAAUGCCUUCUCAUGGAGGGCUGUGGGAGCAUUCUGUCCUCUACCAAAUGAAAGAUUGUCAUCAGUGUUCACUGGAUGGAACUGUGAAUACCUUCUCACCAGAUGGCAUGUUGGAGGCCAUGUCCCUAUGGAGCAGUAAGGUGAACAAAGCAAAACCUAUGUCCUCACCUGGCAGAAGAGUGAAUGUCCUCUCCUAAUCUGACUAAAGGGAGAUUGCAUUGUCCACAUCUGAUGGAAUUGCUGAUGCCAUAUGUUCAUGUGAAGGUAGGAUGAACACCAUGUUGCCACAUGACUGCAGGCUGGUGAAUUCUGUGUAAGUCACCUGACUGUAGGUGAACACACCCUGUCCUCAAUUAACAUAUGGGGGAAUGCCAUAGCCUCAUAUUAGUGUGGGUUGAAGUUUAUGUGGUCAAGUGAAGGAACUGUGAACCCCAAGUCCACAGAGCAGAAGUGUAAAUGCCUUCUCCUCAUUUGAAGGGGACAAAAUGGUGAAUUCUGUUUGUGGGACAGAAGCAGGAAGGCUGUGACCUCACCUGUUGGAUUGGAAAAGGACACGAGGAACUCGGGUGUUCCCUUCCAUGUCUCUCAAGGGUGGUUCUCCUGUCUUCUUCUUUCUCCAAGAAUUCCACCUUCUAACGCCAUCCAUUUAGAUUUCAGGAAAACCACAAGAAUUGCUGACCAAGCAUCUAGGCCUGAUACAAGAGUUCCUGGGGUUCAGGCCUCACCCAACUCCUCAGAGGCACAAGCCGCUGUCAAGAGGACAGGUGGACCUCCCUGUUACUCCAAUCUUCAGGAGUCACCCUGGGGCUCAGUUCCUGGCCCCUCAUGAUGGAAACUGCUGAAUCCAAAAUAUUUGAGGUCACAUCAGGGCAGGAGGAAGGCAGUGACAAAGAAGGCUCCCUAGAGUCCUGGCCCUGGCCUCUCACGGUGCACCUCAAAGACUGUGUCCAUCCUGUAGCUCACAGAUCCACAUCAGCUCAGGCAUGUUCCAGCUCCAUCACAAGUUCCUCUUCUGAAGCUCACAGAACCCUGCAGGCUGGAAACUUCUGUUCCCCAGAGAGUAGCAUCCACUAGAGACAUGUCCUCUUCCAUGUCUGUCCCAGUUCCGCUGCAACUGGGCCUCAACUUGUGUAGUGUCUACCUGAAGACAGGACCAAAGUCAUAUCACCUACUGUGGCCCUUGCAGUCUAAACCCUUCUGGCACAGUGACAGGUACAGGUGCCAGGCAUGUGCAGGGAGAACUUCCCGUCUCCCCACUUCCUGGUAGCCUGUGUGUGGGCCUCCUCCUCCUCCAUGGUGCAGGUUGUCAUGUUUGCUGCUGGAGCUUGGCACCCCAUCCACAGCCCAGGCAGGUCAGCAGCAUGCUUCCCUGCCUCCUAUCUAGGUAGAGCUCACAGAACACAUCUCAGGGGUACAGUUCCCUGACCCUGAUGGGAUCAACCCAGCCUCAUCUGUUGCUGGAAGACUGGAUCGCCAUGAGUCCCCCACAAGGGUGUGAGCACCAGGCCACUGAAUGUCUUGUGUGCCUGGCCUGGCCUGUGUGUGAAUUCAGUACCAGCUGUUCCUGUUGGAGCAGAUCCUGGCUCCCUGGGGUUGCAUGUGCAUGAAAAUACCAGCUCAUUGCCUGGGCAGCCGUGAGAACAUGGAACAGCAGUACACUGCAGUUUGGCUACCUCAGAGCCACACAGGGGGUACUUCUUGCCUCCUUCUUGCCUUGUUAGUUAAAGAGCAAUAAAGUGUUUGCUUUAAUAUGCUUUGGUCCAUUCUUGGGGCACACAGAGCCUGAGGUUAGUUCCAUUCUUGGGGCACACAGAACCUGAGGAACAGUGGUUCCUUGUGGUUCUCCUUUGGGGUGACAGGUGCUGCAUCUUCCACCUUCAGUCAGAGGUCCAGGUCCCAAACAUUUAAUACCUUUUGGGUUACCAAGCCACUAGGGGCCAGGGCUGUGUUGAGUGGUAACAAAGUCUGAGGUGCAUGGGCAUUGGGACAGUUCAUGAGAUUCUGUGGAACACACAUGUUAGGGUCUGGAGUGACCACUUUGCACCUUCUAGGCUGGCCAGCUUCAGUGUCCACUCCUCUGUGGUUCUGUCUCAUUGUGGCUCUCAGAAUCCAGCCCUUCUUCUUCUUCUUCUGCUUCUUCUGCUUCUUCUGCUUCUGCUGCUUCUGCUGCUUCUUCUCCUUCUCCUUCUGCUUCUUCUGCUUCUGCUUCUUCUGCUUCAGCUUCCAAGGAUGCCAUAAACAAGAGUGUCAAUUUGUUAAGUCAACAACAGGAGUCACUGUGCACUUACUCCUCAUGUAGGAUCUCUGUCCUUAAUGUGGUGUUCAAUGUGAAUUAAUGCUAUAACUAGUACUCAGACAGUAUCUUACACUCUAUUUCAGUGUGGGUGCAAGCUAUUGAAAUCUUUACUUAAUAUAUACUAAAUUGAUCUCCUGUAUGUAAAGAGAAUUGAAAAUGAAACUUGAUGUGAAUGGAAUGGAAGAGGGAGUGGGAGAUGGAGGGUUUGCAGGUGG